GUGAGGAAUAUUGGUCAAUGGGCGGGAGCCUGAACCAGCCAAGUCGCGUGAAGGAAGAAGGAUCUAUGGUUCGUAAACUUCUUUUGCAGGGGAAUAAAGUGCAGGACGUGUCCUGUUUUGUAUGUACCUUGAGAAUAAGGAUCGGCUAACUCCGUGCCAGCAGCCGCGGUAAUACGGAGGAUCAGAGCGUUAUCCGGAUCUAUUGGGUUUAAAGGGUGCGUAGGUGGUUUGAUAAGUCAGCGGUGAAAGUUUGCAGCUUAACUGUAAAAAUGCCGUUGAAACUGUCGGACUUGAGUGUAAAUGAGGUAGGCGGAAUGCGUGGUGUAGCGGUGAAAUGCAUAGAUAUCACGCAGAACUCCGAUUGCGAAGGCAGCUUACUAAGCUACAACUGACACUGAAUCACGAAAGCGUGGGGAUCAAACAGGAUUAGAAACCCGGGUAGUCC
rnacentral:rRNA from 1 species